GACGAAUGCUGGCUGCGUGCUUAACACAUGCAAGUCGAACGGUGAAAGGGAGCUUGCUCCCUGGAUCAGUGGCGAACGGGUGAGUAACACGUGGGCAACCUGCCCCUCACUCUGGGAUAACUCCGGGAAACCGGGGCUAAUACCGGAUACGACCUGGUGCGACAUCGCACCGGGUGGAAAGAACUUCGGUGAGGGAUGGGCCCGCGGCCUAUCAGCUUGUUGGUGGGGUAACGGCCCACCAAGGCGACGACGGGUAGCCGGCCUGAGAGGGCGACCGGCCACACGGUGACUGAGACACAGCCCAGACUCCGACGGGAGGCAGCAGUGGGGAAUAUUGCGCAAUGGGCGAAAGCCUGACGCAGCGACGCAGCGUGAGGGACGAAGGCCUUCGGGUUGUAAACCUCUUUCAGCGGGGACGAAGCGAAAGUGACGGUACCCGCAGAAGAAGCACCGGCUAACUACGUGCCAGCCGCCGCAGUAAAAC
rnacentral:rRNA from 1 species